UUUACGAUCAACAGAAAUGCCGCGCCUCGCACUGGCAAGUGGAGUCUUCUCACAUCUGCACGUAUACGAGAGCAGGCGAAGGCGCGUGCCAUGGUGAUUCCGGUAGUGCUCUUCUCGCUGGCGGUGUUCAAAUCGGUAUUGUUUCCUUCGGCAGGCCGUGCGCUCGCGGUGAGCCCGACGUGUUCACCAGAGUAUCCUCGUUUGCGAAUUGGCUGGAGAAAAAUGUUGUUUCGUAACAAAGUAAACUGAAAUCUUUUGUAUGUACAGUUAUUCUCGACCAAAUUAUUGUUAUUCUCAGUGAGUAAAAAAGUGUUUAAUAAAUAUUGCCAUAAAACUACCAAAGAUA